CCGCCCGUCACAUCACGAAAGGUGGCUGCACUUGAAGUCGUUGGGCUAACCCGCAAGGGAGGCAGGCGCCGAUGGUGUGGUUGAUGAUUGGGGUG
rnacentral:rRNA from 1 species